UACGAAGGGUGCAAGCGUUACUCGGAAUUACUGGGCGUAAAGCGUGCGUAGGUGGUCUGUUAAGUCUGAUGUGAAAGCCCUGGGCUCAACCUGGGAAUUGCAUUGGAUACUGGCAGGCUAGAGUGCGGUAGAGGGUAGUGGAAUUCCGGUGUAAGCAGUGAAAUGCGUAGAGAUCGGGAGGAACACCAGUGGGCGAAAGGCGACUACCUGGACCAGCACUGACACUGAGG
rnacentral:rRNA from 1 species